UUAUCUUUGGUAUAUAAUAGGAGUAAUCAGUUUAUGAAAACUGAAAUACCAAAGUGUAGAAGUUUGACAUCAUUAUAAUUAAUAAUUUUAGAGCUGAAAGGAAAUUGAGAAAUAAUCUAAUCCAAAUCACUUUUCUAGAUAACAGGAGACU